UCAAUUGAAGGGUCAAAUGUUUUCUUUUUCAAACGGCCAUUUUGCAUGUAAUGGCUGCUCUGUGCAGACAUUGUGGGCUGUUCUUCUCUUGUUCAUAAGAUCUAGGGUCCUUCUGUGCAAAUGUAUGUGCUGUGGGUAAGAAAUUACUUCAACUGAGUUUAUUGGCAUUUCUUAGCACAUAUGAGUUCAAAGAAAAUUAUUACAGGAAGUUGCAUUCUGGCAUCACGUGGCACAUCAUCACUGUCUCUUCUGCAAAUUUCUGAGAAUAAGAAGAAUUGGUUGAAAAAACUUCUAACAUCUCCAUCGGUUUGUAAUCAGUGAAUACAGGGAGGAGAGGUGAAGGCAUGAAGAGGGGC